rfam:Laribacter hongkongensis HLHK9, complete genome.
CGGCUUCGGCCUGCUGCGGCGAGAUCAUGUGCACGUGGGCAUCGAUGCCGCCGGCAGUCAGGAUCAGGUGCUCGCCGGAAAUGGCGUCGGUUGCCGGGCCGACGGCCAGCGACGGCGUGACGCCGGGCAUGGUCGAGGGAUUGCCGGCCUUGCCGAUGCCGCAGAUGCGGCCGUCCUUGAUGCCGACGUCGGCCUUGAUGACGCCAAGCACGGCGUCGAUGAUGGUGACGUUGGUGAUCAGCAGGUCCGGCGCGCCGCCGAUGCUGGUCAGCUCGUUGUCCAUCCCCAUGCCGUCACGCAG